AUAUUAUGUCACCGCGACGGAAAUUCAAUUCUCUCGAAGAUUGCCCGAUAAAGUUGUAAAGUGCUCUCGCUACGAGUCGCGGUUCCGGUGUUUGCUCCUGGGAUCUGCUUCUGUGGCUGAGAUCGUCAACAAAGUCGUCGUAACGGUUCAGUGGAAUCGGUGACUUCUGGGAUGGUCUGAAAUCGAUAAUUUUAGGCUUAGAGAAACAAUAAACGUAAUGCGGAUCACCUAAAACGCUGUAAAACGCUUAAAAAUCACUCUUUUUGAUUAUUCAAACGCCAAAAUUACCGGCUCAACCUUCUUUUAUCGAAUACCGCGAGAAAAAUCCAAGCUAAACGUUUUUAAACGAAAAUAAACACGAAAACAGCAAAAAACACUGCCAAAAGUUCGAAGAAAAAGUUGAAACAAAACUUUUUCCGUGCGAGACCACCCUAAUCUCGUAGGAAGACGAUCAAGCCAAACAUCUUCAAUCGAAAAAAAUAAUGGAAAUAAACAAAAGUGCCUUGACAGACCGAGUAUCGUAUCUAAAACGGUGAGAAACGUCGAAAUCCGGCGCAAGUCAUAUAAAACGCUGUAAAAUGUUUAAAAAUCAUACUUUUUGAAAGUUAAAAAAAUUUGUUACAUAUUAAUUUUAAGCGAACAGCGUAUUGAUUACCGAGAACUGUCGUGUGUACAUAUGUGGACGUAUAGAAUGUAACAACUCGGGAUCAGGGUCAACGCUUAGAUAGAAUCGUAAUGUCAUGAACAGUUACGAGAGUAUUGAGUCACAGUGAUGGAUUUUAUGCAUUCGUUAUUUUCACAAUUAUCUGACUUGCAUUUACAAAUAUGUACGCUACAAUUAAGUCUUGCAUUAAUUAAAGCCUACGACCCCUAACAGAGAUUAAUUUCGACUCGACUCUACUUCCUCUUGUGCUCGCACAGGAAUCCAAGGAGACAAUGCUCGAUGUCAGCUUGACAGUCGUCCCUAUUCCGCGGCAGUGAUACGAUCCACGAAUCAGACAAAUAAGCGGAUGACAAGUGACAGUACUUACAUGAAGUUGUCAGUGUGCCGUCGUGAAUCAAUAUCGUGCAGUUCUUGGAGAUACUUGCGACGACGUUCUUCUUGAUACACGCGUCGCAUAUUCUCUGCACUCCGGCGAGUGAGCUCUUCCUCGCUCAAUGGCUCUUUCGCCUCUGUACGCACUGGCGAACGGUAGUGAAUCGUCACCUCGCCCUCCACGUAACGCCUCGGUGAUUCUGCGACAGUGAACCACCGUUAUUACUCUUUGUUUUCAAUUAAUCGAUAUUAACCAGACAACAAACUUCCAUUCAUCGCUACCACCACCGCGCCGCGGCGAUCACGAUCUCGCAUUUUCCUUGAAGGAUUCAUCUAUGGAAAGUGUAAAAGCAACGAUUGUA